CGAUUAGCUCAGUUGGUUAGAGCGUCCGCUUGACGUGCGGAAGGUCACAGGUUCGAAUCCUGUAUCGUCC
rnacentral:tRNA from 1 species